AGGUAGUUUAGGUUUUCGUUUGGGUUUAUAUAUUUAGAGGUUUCGGUGUAUUUGUGUUUCUGCCCUUUUCUCCAUUGACACGCUACACUAUAUUUAGGCAUUGCACGAGGUCGUGUUUUUUCUUUGACUGUAAAUGACGUCUUAAUACCAUAUACAUUAGAAGUUGGAUGUUAACUGAUUGAUAUUUUAGUAUUAGAAACAUAAUUUUUCAUUAGUUGAUAUGGGCUUGGAACUAGUUUCAAUGACUUUAAGUAUUUGCAGGUUUGUAUUAUGUAUUUUGUGUUUUUGUUUUUUUUUUUUUUUUUUUUUUUUUUUUUUUUUUUUUUUUUUUUUUUUUUUUUAAA